AGUUAUAUAUAGCAAGGUUUGACGGGCUGGUUUGGGACCAGAAGAUCGGGGGUUCAAAUCCCUCCAUCCCGA
rnacentral:tRNA from 1 species